rnacentral:tRNA from 1 species
GGAGAGAUGGUUCAGUGGUUAAGAACAUUGGUCCUCCCAGAGGACCCAGGUUCAAUUCCUGGCACCC